rnacentral:rRNA from 1 species
CCUACGGGCGGCAGCAGUGAGGAAUAUUGGUCAAUGGCCGGAAGGCUGAACCAGCCAUGCCGCGUGAAGGUCAGUGCCCUAUGGGCGUUAAACUUCUUUUGUGCGGGAGCAAUAAUGGUCACGUGUGGCCAGACGAGAGUACCGUACGAAUAAGCAUCGGCUAACUCCGUGCCAGCAGCCGCGGUAAUCCGGGGGAUGCAAGCGUUAUCCGGAUUUAUUGGGUUUAAAGGGUGCGUAGGCUGUGAGGUAAGUCAGCGGUGAAAUGCCCCCGCUCAACGGGGUGAAGUGCCAUUGAUACUGCCUGGCUGGAAUGCGGAUGCCGGGGGAGGAAGGUGUGGUGUAGCGGUGAAAUGCAUAGAUAUCACACAGAACACCGAUUGCGAAGGCAUCUCACGAAUCCGCGAUUGACGCUGAUGCACGAAAGCGUGGGUAUCAAACAGGAUUAGAUACCCUUGUAGUC